UUGUAAUGAUUUGAUUGUGAGAAUGUUUGGAACAUUCUAUAAGUGAUAUUUCUGAUAUAUAAGACAUCUCUCCUCAUGCUAUUCAGAUAGGUGUGAAGUUGAUGUGAG